rnacentral:rRNA from 1 species
UACAGAGGGUGCAAGCGUUGUUCGGAAUCAUUGGGCGUAAAGCGCGUGUAGGUGGCUUUCUAAGUCUGGUGUGAAAUCCCGGGGCUCAACCCCGGAAGUGCACUGGAUACUGGAGAGCUAGGGGGCGAGAGAGGAGAUUGGAAUUCAUGGUGUAGGGGUGAAAUCCGUAGAUAUCAUGAGGAACAUCUGUGGCGAAGGCGAAUCUCUGGCUCGUUUCUGACACUGAGACGCGAAAGCGUGGGGAGCAAACAGG